rnacentral:ncRNA from 1 species
CCUACUGAUGACAGUGUCGCAAUACUAAUUCAACCUAGUACAAGAGGAAUCGUUCAUUCACACAAUUGCUCAUCGCGCUUGGUUGAAAAGCCAGUGGCACGAAGCUACCAUGUGCUGGAUUAUGACUGAACGCCUCUAAGUCAGAAUCCGGGCUAGUAGCGACGCAUGCGCCCGCCGUCCGCUUGCCGACCCACAGUAGGGGCCUCUGCCCCCAAGGGCACAUGUCGUUGGCUAAGCCGCCGCGACGGAAGGGUCGCGGUGGCCGCCUUGAAGUACAAUUUCCAUCGAGCGGCGGGCAGAAUCCUUUGCAGACGACUUAAAUACGCGACGGGGUAUUGUAAGUGGCAGAGUGGCCUUGCUGCCACGAUCCACUGAGAUUCAGCCCUUUGUCGCUCCGGUUCGU